UGGGGAAUUUUGGACAAUGGGCGCAAGCCUGAUCCAGCAAUGCCGCGUGCAGGAUGAAGGCCUUCGGGUUGUAAACUGCUUUUGUACGGAGCGAAAAGGUCUGCCCUAAUACGGUGGGCUCAUGACGGUACCGUAAGAAUAAGCACCGGCUAACUACGUGCCAGCAGCCGCGGUAAUACGUAGGGUGCGAGCGUUAAUCGGAAUUACUGGGCGUAAAGCGUGCGCAGGCGGUUUUGUAAGACAGAGGUGAAAUCCCCGGGCUCAACCUGGGAAUUGCCUUUGUGACUGCAAGGCUUGAGUGCGGCAGAGGGGGAUGGAAUUCCGCGUGUAGCAGUGAAAUGCGUAGAUAUGCGGAGGAACACCGAUGGCGAAGGCAAUCCCCUGGACCUGUACUGACGCUCAUGCACGAAAGCGUGGGGAGCAAACA
rnacentral:rRNA from 1 species